rnacentral:rRNA from 1 species
UACAGAGGUGGCAAGCGUUGUUCGGAAUUACUGGGCGUAAAGGGCGCGUAGGCGGUCUUUUAAGUCUUGUGUGAAAUCCCUCGGCUCAACUGAGGAACUGCACGGGAUACUGGAAGACUUGAGUUCGGGAGAGGGAAGCGGAAUUCCGGGUGUAGCGGUGAAAUGCGUAGAUAUCCGGAGGAACACCGGUGGCGAAGGCGGCUUCCUGGACCGACACUGACGCUGAGGCGCGAAAGCGUGGGGAGCAAACAGG